rnacentral:rRNA from 1 species
UAGGGAAUCUUCGGCAAUGGGCGAAAGCCUGACCGAGCAACGCCGCGUGAAUGAUGAAGGCCUUCGGGUUGUAAAAUUCUGUUAUAAGGGAAGAAUGACUUUAGUAGGAAAUGGCUAAAGUGUGACGGUACCUUAUGAGAAAGCCACGGCUAACUACGUGCCAGCAGCCGCGGUAAUACGUAGGUGGCAAGCGUUGUCCGGAUUUAUUGGGCGUAAAGCGAGCGCAGGCGGUUCCUUAAGUCUGAUGUGAAAGCCCACGGCUUAACCGUGGAAGGUCAUUGGAAACUGGGGAACUUGAGUGCAGAAGAGGAGAGUGGAAUUCCAUGUGUAGCGGUGAAAUGCGUAGAUAUAUGGAGGAACACCAGUGGCGAAGGCGACUCUCUGGUCUGUAACUGACGCUGAGGCUCGAAAGCGUGGGGAGCAAACAGG